AGUGUGUAGGGUCAGGUGUAGGCAAAUCCGCACCUGGUGAAGCCUGAGACAUGAUGGCGAUGAAACCUCGGUUUCAGAAGUGGGUGAUCCUAUGCUGCCUAGAAAAUCUUCGUGAGCGAGUUGUUAGCCGCCCAUACCCCAAACCGACACAGGUGGAUAGGUAGAGAAUACCAAGGCGAUCGAGAGAAUCGUGGUGAAGGAACUCGGCAAAAUACCCCCGUAACUUCGGGAUAAGGGGGACCUGACGUGUUACGGCACAUGCUGCCGGAAGCACUGAGGGUCGCAGAGACCAGGCCCAAGCGACUGUUUACUAAAAACACAGGUCCGUGCCAAGUUGAAAGACGAUGUAUACGGACUGACUCCUGCCCGGUGCUGGAAGGUUAAGGGGAAGUGUUAGCGCAAGCGAAGCACCGAACUUAAGCCCCAGUAAACGGCGGUGGUAACUAUAACCAUCCUAAGGUAGCGAAAUUCCUUGUCGGGUAAGUUCCGACCUGCACGAAUGGAGUAACGAUUGGGCGCUGUCUCCACCACGAACUCGGCGAAAUUGCAUUACGAGUAAAGAUGCUCGUUACGCGCAGCAGGACGGAAACACCCCGGGACCUUUUCUAUAGUUUGGUAUUGGUGAUCGGUACAGCUUGUGUAGGAUAGGUGGGAGACUUUGAAGCAGGGACGCCAGUUCUUGUGGAGUCAACGUUGAAAUACCACUCUGGCUGUUCUGGUUAUCUAACCUAGGUCCAUUAUCUGGAUCAGGGACAGUGCCUGAUGGGUAGUUUGACUGGGGCGGUCGCCUCCCAAAAUGUAACGGAGGCGCCCAAAGGUUCCCUCAGCCUGGUUGGCAAUCAGGUUUUGAGUGUAAGUGCACAAGGGAGCUUGACUGUGAGAGGGACACCUCAAGCAGGGACGAAAGUCGGGACUAGUGAUCUGACGGUGGCACGUGGAAGCGCCGUCACUCAACGGAUAAAAGGUACCCCGGGGAUAACAGGCUGAUCUUGCCCGAGCGUCCAUAGCGACGGCAUGGUUUGGCACCUCGAUGUCGGCUCGUCGCAUCCUGGGGCUGGAGUCGGUCCCAAGGGUUGGGCUGUUCGCCCAUUAAAGCGGCACGCGAGCUGGGUUUAGAACGUCGUGAGACAGUUCGGUCCCUAUCCGCUGCGCGCGUAGGAAUCUUGAGAGAGGCUGUCCUUAGUACGAGAGGACCGGGACGGACAAACCUCUGGUGUGCCAGUUGUUCUGCCAAGAGCACGGCUGGUUGGCUACGUUUGGAAGUGAUAACCGCUGAAAGCAUCUAAGCGGGAAGCACGUCUCAAGAUGAGGGUUCCCACAGAGUUAAUCUGGUAAGGCCCCCGGAAGACCACCGGGUUGAUAGGUCGGAUGUGAAAGUGCAGCAAUGCAUGGAGCUGACCGAUACUAAUAGGCCGAGGGCUUGUUUCG
rnacentral:rRNA from 1 species